GAGACACAAGAGAGAAAUCAAAUACAAAAAAAAGAGAAUCGAAUAUACAAAUAGAGAAAAAUAAUCAGAAAUAUAAAAAGUGAGUGGCCUAGGUCUAUCAUCUCUGAUGAAAGAUGAUACCUUUAAACUAGGGAAGCCGAAAAAACCCCAAAAAAGCAAGUUUUUUUAUUUUUCGGCCAUCGUGGGGCGCGACGCCAUCGCCUGUAAUCAGCGGCCGUCACGGUGGCCCAGCGACCAGAGCCUUCGCCGGAGUUAUGCCGGACUGAGAAGGCUUGAGAGAAAAUGAGAGGCCAUCU